GACGAACGCUGGCGGCGUGCUUAACGCAUGCAAGUCGAACGGUGAAGCGCCUUCCUUUUUGGUGGGUGUGGAUGAGUGGCGAACGGGUGAGUAACACGUGAGUAACCUGCCCCCUUCUUCUGGAUAACCGCAUGAAAGUGUGGCUAAUACGGGAUAUUCUGGGUCUGUCGCAUGAUGGGUCUGGGAAAGAUAUUGUUUCGGUGGGGGAUGGGCUCGCGGCCUAUCAGCUUGUUGGUGGGGUGAUGGCCUACCAAGGCGGUGACGGGUAGCCGGCCUGAGAGGGUGGACGGUCACACUGGGAAUGAGACACGGCCCAGACUCCUACGGGAGGCAGCAGUGGGGAAUAUUGCACAAUGGGCGCAAGCCUGAUGCAGCGACGCCGCGUGAGGGAUGGAGGCCUUCGGGUUGUGAACCUCUUUCGCCAGUGAAGCAGGCCUGCCUCGUUUGUGGGUGGGUUGACGGUAGCUGGAUAAGAAGCGCCGGCUAACUACGUG
rnacentral:rRNA from 1 species